AGUGAACGCUGGCGGUAGGCCUAACACAUGCAAGUCGAACGGCAGCACAGUAAGAGCUUGCUCUUACGGGUGGCGAGUGGCGGACGGGUGAGGAAUACAUCGGAAUCUACUUUUUCGUGGGGGAUAACGUAGGGAAACUUACGCAAAUACCGCAUACGACCUACGGGUGAAAGCAGGGGAUCUUCGGACCUUGCGCGAUUGAAUGAGCCGAUGUCGGAUUAGCUAGUUGGCGGGGUAAAGGCCCACCAAGGCGACGAUCCGUAGCUGGUCUGAGAGGAUGAUCAGCCACACUGGAACUGAGACACGGUCCAGACUCCUACGGGAGGCAGCAGUGGGGAAUAAUGGACAAUGGGCGCAAGCCUGAUCCAGCCAUACCGCGUGGGUGAAGAAGGCCUUCGGGUUGUAAAGCCCUUUUGUUGGGAAAGAAAAGCAGCAGGUUAAUACCCCGCUGUUCUGACGGUACCCAAAGAAUAAGCACCGGCUAACUUCGUG
rnacentral:rRNA from 1 species